rnacentral:rRNA from 1 species
AUUGAACGCUGGCGGAAUGCUUUACACAUGCAAGUCGAGCGGCAGCGCGGGGGCAACCCUGGCGGCGAGCGGCGAACGGGUGAGUAACAUAUCGGAACGUACCCAGUCGUGGGGGAUAACUAUCCGAAAGGAUAGCUAAUACCGCAUACGUCCUGAGGGAGAAAGCGGGGGAUCGCAAGACCUCGCGCGAUUGGAGCGGCCGAUAUCGGAUUAGCUAGUUGGUGGGGUAAAGGCUCACCAAGGCGACGAUCCGUAGCGGGUCUGAGACGGACGACCCGCCACACUGGAACUGAGACACGGUCCAGACUCCUACGGGAGGCAGCAGUGGGGAAUUUUGGACAAUGGGGGCAACCCUGAUCCAGCCAUUCCGCGUGAGUGAAGAAGGCC